UCUUAAGAAAACAUUCUAAGAUGUGUGU
rnacentral:piRNA from 1 species